GAUGAACGCUGGCGGCGUGCCUAAUACAUGCAAGUCGAGCGAACAGACGAGGAGCUUGCUCCUCUGAUGUUAGCGGCGGACGGGUGAGUAACACGUGGAUAACCUACCUAUAAGACUGGGAUAACUUCGGGAAACCGGAGCUAAUACCGGAUAAUAUUUUGAACCGCAUGGUUCAAUAGUGAAAGACGGUUUUGCUGUCACUUAUAGAUGGAUCCGCGCCGCAUUAGCUAGUUGGUAAGGUAACGGCUUACCAAGGCAACGAUGCGUAGCCGACCUGAGAGGGGGAUAGGCCACACCGGAACGGAGACACGGUCCAGACUCCUAAGGGAGGCAGCAGUAGGGAAUCGUGCGCCAAGGGCGAAAGCCUGACGGAGAAACGCCGCGGGAGUGAUGAAGGUCUUCGGAUCGGAAAAAUCUGUUAAUAGGGAAGAAAAAAUGUGUAAGUAACUUUGGACAUUUUGACGGGACCUAAUCAAAAAGCCACGGCUAAAUACGGG
rnacentral:rRNA from 1 species